rnacentral:tRNA from 1 species
GCGAGGAUGGCGGAAUUGGCAGACGCGCCAGACUUAGGAUCUGGUCCAUUGGGUGUGGGUUCAAGUCCCUCUCCUCGCACCA